UACGUAGGGUGCAAGCGUUGUCCGGAAUUAUUGGGCGUAAAGAGCUCGUAGGCGGUUUGUUGCGUCGGCUGUGAAAUCCCGAGGCUCAACCUCGGGUCUGCAGUCGAUACGAGCAAACUAGAGUGUUGCAGGGGAGACUGGAAUUCCUGGUGUAGCGGUGAAAUGCGGCAGAUAUCAGGAGGAACACCGGUGGCGAAGGCGGGUCUCUGGGCAACAACUGACGCUGGAGGAGCGAAAGCGUGGGGAGCGAACAGG
rnacentral:rRNA from 1 species